rnacentral:rRNA from 1 species
UACAGAGGUGGCUAGCGUUGUUCGGAUUUAUUGGGCGUAAAGGGUCCGUAGGCGGUUCGGAAAGUCGGAUGUGAAAUCCCACAGCUCAACUGUGGAACUGCAUUCGAAACUUCCGGACUUGAGUGUGAGAGGGGUAAAGGGAAUUCCCGGUGUAAGGGUGAAAUCUGCAGAGAUCGGGAGGAACACCAGUCGCGAAGGCGCUUUACUGGCUCACUACUGACGCUCAGGGACGAAAGCUAGGGGAGCAAACGGGAUUAGAUACCCUUGUAGU